GCAGACUUGGGCUGGAAGCUCCCGGCCCGAGGGGAGGGGGCGAGGGUGCCCGGUGGUGGCCGCCGUUGCCUCUUGGCCCCCUCCCCGGAGUGGCUGGUGCGUGGAAGCUCGAAAGGGGCUGUCUCUUCCUCUCCCCGGGGACCCCCCUACGAGCUGCGUCCUCUCCCCGACGGGCCCCCUGGGGCGAGGGCCAGAGGGUUCAGUGCCACCCGGUGCCCGGGUCCAAUCUUGCUGAAGCCGCUGCUUCCCCGGAGGACCGGGGGAGGGGGUGGCAGCCGAGAAAGGACCUUCUCCCCUCCGCAGCGUCGGCCGUUCUGCUGGCGGCGACUGGGUUUGCACCCCGGAGGGAGCCGCCGCGGCCACUGCUUCCAGGACGCACGAGAGCAGAGGAGAGGAGUGCACGCACGCAGGCUCCCGCCGCCCCCAGGCCUGGCCGGCGCCCGGGCCGCCGCGGCUGGCGGCGCUCACGUUGGCUGCAGGGCGCUCGCGCGGCGCCUCGGCCCGGGUCGCAUCCCUUCCCGCUCGUGCUCACGCUCGCCCGGAAUGUGGGGUUGUGAUUGUUACUCUACGUUCCGGAGGCGCGUCUCGGCGCUCCUGCUCCGGCUGCGGCUCGCGCUGUCCCCGGCUUGGCCGCGCGGGAUGCCGCCCGGGCGGAGCGCUGACGUCACCGCCAUGCUCUGCACCAGUUCUUCCCCCUCCCCUUUACACUUCCUCUGUGGAGCCCACUUGUUGCUCAGGCAAGGCGCAUGCGCGGCAGGACGCCCAGAUUCCUCCCAGCCGGCCCCUCCUCCGCGCCUCCGCCCUCCCCUCCCCCCUCGCCGUGUGUGUACAACAGCUGAGGCCCGGCGAGCUAAUGCUGGAAGUCCAGAGCUGGGGGUGGAAAUUAAACAGACGAUGACCUUUCCUUUCCCUGCCGGGCAUUCCCAAGUAAAAACGCAUUUAAGAACCACUAGCGUCGUUUCCGAUCCCUGCUCCCCACCCCACCCCCAA
rnacentral:lncRNA from 1 species